CCUACGGGAGGCUGCAGUGGGGAAUAUUGGGCAAUGGAGGCAACUCUGACCCAGCAACGCCGCGUGAGUGAUGAAGGUCUUCGGAUUGUAAAGUUCUGUGAUGGGGGAUGAACACAAUGACGGUACCCCAAUAGCAAGCCACGACCAACUACGUGCCAGCAGCCGCGGUAAUACGUAGGUGGCAAGCGUUAUCCGGAAUGACUGGGCGUAAAGGGGGCGUAGGUGGUAUAGUAAGUUUGCGGUGAAAUUCCGGGGCUCAACCACGGGGCUACCGCGAAAACUAUGAGACUAGAGUGCAGGAGGGGUAAGUGGAAUUCCUAGUGUAGCGGUGGAAUGCGUAGAUAUUAGGAGGAACAUCAGGGGCGAAGGCAGCUUACUAAACUGCCACUGACAUUGAUGCUCGAAAGUGUGGGUAUCAAACAGGAUUAGAUACCCUGGUAGUC
rnacentral:rRNA from 1 species